UAGGGAAUAUUGCACAAUGGGCGAAAGCCUGAUGCAGCAACGCCGCGUGUGCGAAGAAGGCCUUCGGGUCGUAAAGCACUUUUCUGAGAGAUGAGAAAGGACAGUAUCUCAGGAAUAAGUCUCGGCUAACUACGUGCCAGCAGCCGCGGUAAAACGUAGGAGGCAAGCGUUAUCCGGAUUCACUGGGCGUAAAGCGCGUGCAGGCGGUUCGGUAAAGUUGGGCGUGAAAUCUCCUGGCUUAACUGGGAGAGGUCGUCCAAUACUACCGGACUUGAGAGCGGUAGAGGAAGAUGGAAUUCCCGGUGUAGUGGUGAAAUGCGUAGAUAUCGGGAGGAACACCAGUGGCGAAAGCGAUCUUCUGGACCGUUCUGUACGCUCAGACGCGAAAGCUAGGGUAGUAAACGGGAUUAGAGACCCCGGUAAUCCUAGCCGUAAACGAUGCAAACUUGGCGUCGGUGGCUUAAAACUCCAAUCGGUGCCGCAGCCAACGCGAUAAGUUUGCCGUCC
rnacentral:rRNA from 1 species